rnacentral:guide_RNA from 1 species
GCAGGUAAAGGUGAGAAAGUGAAGAUAUCAUA